rnacentral:rRNA from 1 species
UACAGAGGAUGCAAGCGUUAUCCGGAAUGAUUGGGCGUAAAGCGUCUGUAGGUGGCUUUUUAAGUCCGCCGUCAAAUCCCAGGGCUCAACUCUGGACAGGCGGUGGAAACUACCAAGCUGGAGUACUGCAGGGGAGACUGGAAUUCCUGGUGUAGCGGUGGAAUGCGCAGAUAUCAGGAGGAACACCGGUGGCGAAGGCGGGUCUCUGGGCAGUAACUGACGCUGAGGAGCGAAAGCGUGGGGAGCGAACAGG